rnacentral:lncRNA from 1 species
UAAAAGAUAGUAAAAAGGCUAUUUUCUUUUUAGUUUCCGAAUCAUAAAUUCUUAAGUUAAUUAUUACACAAUUUUUAUGUGCUACAUAUUGGAACAGCAUGAACCAACGUUCUUUGUUAGGUCGGUGCAGGUGCAGCUGCGGGUGCAGCUCCAUCCGCGGGCGCAGCUGCUGGUGCUGCUUCAGCCGCAGGUGCUGCUCCACCUGAAGACAUACCACGCAACUUUUUAAUGAGUCCCAGAAUUUUUUUGAGCAUUGCCAGACGUGAACCGCCGCCACCCCCAAGUCUUGCUUUAAUUCUAUUUAUUAUAAUUCUUC